rnacentral:rRNA from 1 species
UACGGAGGAUCCGAGCGUUAUCCGGAUUUAUUGGGUUUAAAGGGUGCGCAGGCGGGAGAUUAAGUCGGCGGUGAAAUUUUGCAGCUCAACUGUAAAAGUGCCUUCGAAACUGGUUUCCUUGAGUGUAGAUGAAGUAGGCGGAAUUUGUGGUGUAGCGGUGAAAUGCAUAGAUAUCACGAGGAACUCCGAUCGCGUAGGCAGCUUACUAAACCAUAACUGACGCUCAUGCACGAAGGCGUGGGGAUCAAACAGGAUUAGAUACCCUGGUAGU